AUCCAACCGAUGAGUCCCAAAUAGAACGAAACCUGCGUCCUGGAU
rnacentral:hammerhead_ribozyme from 1 species